GAUGAACGCUGGCGGCGUGCCUAAUACAUGCAAGUCGAGCGAAUGGAUUAAGAGCUUGCUCUUAUGAAGUUAGCGGCGGACGGGUGAGUAACACGUGGGUAACCUGCCCAUAAGACUGGGAUAACUCCAGGAAACCGGGGCUAAUACCGGAUAACGUUUUGAACCGCAUGGUUCGAAAUUGAAAGGCGGCUUCGGCUGUCACUUAUGGAUGGACCCGCGUCGCAUUAGCUAGUUGGUGAGGUAACGGCUCACCAAGGCAACGAUGCGUAGCCGACCUGAGAGGGUGAUCGGCCACACUGGGACUGAGACACGGCCCAGACUCCUACGGGAGGCAGCAGUAGGGAAUCUUCCGCAAUGGACGAAAGUCUGACGGAGCAACGCCGCGUGAGUGAUGAAGGCUUUCGGGUCGUAAAACUCUGUUGUUAGGGAAGAACAAGUGCUAGUUGAAUAAGCUGACACCUUGACGGUACCUAACCAGAAAGCCACGGCUAACUACGUGCCAGCCGCCGCGGUAA
rnacentral:rRNA from 1 species